rnacentral:rRNA from 1 species
UACGAAGGGGGGCUAGCGUUGCUCGGAAUCACUGGGCGUAAAGCGCACGUAGGCGGCUUUCUAAGUCAGGGGUGAAAUCCUGGAGCUCAACUCCAGAACUGCCUUUAAUACUGCCAGUCUCGAGUCCGGAAGAGGUAAGUGGAACUCCUAGUGUAGAGGUGGAAUUCGUAGAUAUUAGGAAGAACACCAGUGGCGAAGGCGGCUUACUGGUCCGGUACUGACGCUGAGGUGCGAAAGCGUGGGGAGCAAACAGG